ACUCUCAAAGGAUAACAGCAAUCCACUGGUUUUAGGAACCAUCCUCUCUUGGUGCAACUCCAAGUGAAAGUA
rnacentral:tRNA from 1 species